GUGCUCCGCUCGGCAGCACAAAUCCUAAAAAUUGACACGAUGCUGAGAAGAUGAGCCCGGCCCCUGAGCGGGGAGGACACGCAAACUCCCGGGGCGUUCGCUAUUUUG
rfam:Canis lupus familiaris chromosome 26, whole genome shotgun sequence.